GGCAAAACCGUGAUGCUAAAAUUCAUUCCUAUGCCCACGUUCAGACCAAAAUGCUCUGCACAAAAAUAAUGAUGGCUGCUUCAUCCAAAAUCAUCCAAUCCAAUUAGAAGCUCCAUAGAAAAAUAACUUUCAAAGCCAAAAAAGUUGCUCCAGCCAAGAGAGUCCUACAAUUCGUUGCAGUAGCAUAUGAAAUAGGUAAGUGACCUGAAGGGAAUGUUUCUUCCUAGGAUCAAGUGUCUCAAAAUUUAGGGUGGGGUCCACCCAACCCUAGGGUGCCAUGUGUCUAUUUUUUACUAUUGGGCUCAACAACAAAUACCAAAAAUU
rnacentral:lncRNA from 1 species